AUCUGUUGACCGCCUGUCAAAGACUUCCACUGGCAAAAUUGAAACUCGUGUGUAAUCGUUCUGCGCAUGCUCUGUCCGAGGAGGCCGCUCAACUUGUGUUCACCGCGCGCGCGCCGCCAUAACUGGAACCGGGAUACGGUUUAGGGCUCACGGAGUGCCUGUAGCAGGGUGAAUCAGAAUGGGAGACAAGCCGAUUUGGGAACAAAUAGGAUCCAGCUUUGUGCAACAUUACUAUCAGCUGUUCGACACAGACAGGACUCAACUUGGAUCAAUAUAUAUUGAUGCGUCAUGCCUUACGUGGGAGGGUCAGCAAUUCCAGGGAAAAGCAGCAAUUGUCGAAAAGCUCUCUAGCCUGCCCUUCACAAAAAUAGCUCAUAGCAUAACAGCACAGGACCACCAGCCCACCCCUGAUAGCUGCAUAUUGAGUAUGGUAGUAGGUCAACUAAAAGCUGACGAUGACCAGGUGCUGGGUUUCCAUCAGACCUUUCUGUUAAAAUGUCUCAACACUGCCUGGGUUUGCACCAAUGAAGUCUUCAGGCUUGCCCUGCACAACCUUUGAGCCUAAAGACUCUUUGUGGUCACAUGGCCUUUCCUCCUUCUCUUAAUGUCUGCAGAUGAUGACCCCAUCAUGGGAUUCCAUCAGAGCUUCAUCUUGAAGAACAUUAAUGAGGCGUGGGUUUGCACCAAUGACAUGUUCCGCCUGGCGCUGCACAAUUUUGGUUAAACACCCUAUGGCUGGCAGGAAGGAAGUGGGGGAAGGUGGAGGACAGGGAUCUGCCCUGCUGAUGCCUGAACCUGUCAAUCGCCCCUUCGCUCAUCACACUCAAGAGAAACGGCACCGGAUUACAGCAGUCAAUCAAAGAAAACAUGCAGGCACAUACAGUACUGCCUGCACUCCAAAACUGAUGUUUCUUUAUAGAAUGCCCAUACAUUCAUCAAACUGACCCUUUUCCCUUCGCCAACCUGCAUGUUGAUGGGGAGCUUAAAUCUGAGAGGACGCCCUGACCAGGACAAAAACCCUAACCUCAGCCGUUUGAAAUGUACAAUUUUAGUUGCUGAUUUUGACUUUGAUAUAACAUCUGUCUUAUUCUCUGUCUUUGCUUUAGUACAGUGUUAUCAGCUUGUUUUUAGAGUUUGCUUAUUAAAGUUUAAAUCUUUUUUGCCCCCGUAAAAAUUGGAGUCUCCAUUUAAUGUGAUGUCAGGUUGCUCUAGUGAUCCAAAGAACACCAUGCUAAUUUCCCCCUCCCUUCAGACCAGUGUGCUUCCCAUUUUCUGCUCACUGCUCUCUGUAACAAUAAUUAUCAAGCCACGAUACACAAUAAAACCUUUGACUUUUUCUUAACAAUGCUA